AAUGGGCGAAAGCCUGACGCAGCAACGCCGCGUGAGUGAAGAAGGCCUUUGGGUUGUAAAGCUCUUUCGACUGGGAAGAAGGGUCGUAUGGUGAAUAAUCAUACGAUUUGACGGUACCAGGAGAAGAAGCCACGGCUAACUUCGUGCCAGCAGCCGCGGUAAUACGAAGGUGGCGAGCGUUGUUCGGAAUCAUUGGGCGUAAAGGGCGCGUAGGCGGGCUUAUAAGUCGAUUGUGAAAUCCCUGGGCUUAACCCGGGAAUUGCAGUCGAAACUGCAAGUCUUGAAUUCUCGAGAGGGUGGUGGAAUUCCUGGAGUAGUAGUGAAAUACGUAGAUAUCAGGAGGAACACCGGAGGCGAAGGCGGCCACCUGGCGAGAUAUUGACGCUGAUGUGCGAAAGUGCGGGGAUCAAA
rnacentral:rRNA from 1 species